GCGGGGGUGCCCGAGCAUGGUCAAAGGGGGUAGGCUCAGGACCUUAGUGAGAACCCUACUGGAGUAGUCCUGCGCGGGUUCAAAUCCCGCCCCCCGCA
rnacentral:tRNA from 1 species